rnacentral:sRNA from 1 species
ACUUAACGAUAAAGCACACCUCCUCCCAAGCUCUAUCGUCGGAUCGGCAACCCUCCUCCUCCCGGUUGCCGGUCAGUAUCGAAGGCCCGGCGUACCUCCUCCCACGCCGGGCUUUCUCU